rnacentral:rRNA from 1 species
GAUGAACGCUGGCGGCGUGCCUAAUACAUGCAAGUCGAGCGAACGGACGAGGAGCUUGCUUCUCUGAUGUUAGCGGCGGACGGGUGAGUAACACGCGGAUAACCUACCUAUAAGACUGGGAUAACUUCGGGAAACCGUAGCUAAUACCGGAUAAUAUUUUGAACCGCAUGGUUCAAAAGUGAAAGACGGUCUUGCUGUCACUUAUAGAUGGAUCCGCGCUGCAUUAGCUAGUUGGUAAGGUAACGGCUUACCAAGGCAACGAUGCAUAGCCGACCUGAGAGGGUGAUCGGCCACACUGGAACUGAGACACGGUCCAGACUCCUACGGGAGGCAGCAGUAGGGAAUCUUCCGCAAUGGGCGAAAGCCUGACGGAGCAACGCCGCGUGAGUGAUGAAGGUCUUCGGAUCGUAAAACUCUGUUAUUAGGGAAGAACAUAUGUGUAAGUAACUGUGCACAUCUUGACGGUACCUAAUCAGAAAGCCACGGCUAACUACGUG